rnacentral:lncRNA from 1 species
CCCAUAGUCACGAUCUUUCGAUGGAAACGUUCGAGCCCAGGAGUCGCAGUAGCCCUAACACUGACUGGAGAUCGCCAGCCAACACCGUAAAAGCCCUAGAUUUAUCCGAGAAAAAGGCAUCAUUAGCAGCAGUUUGAGAUCCAACAGAGACGCUCAUAAAAGCCCUAUAUUUAUCCAAAUUUCUCAAACCAAAACCUCGAAUUCCAUGCUUGAAACCGUGAAACAAACCGAAUUACAGCUCCUUAAGCUUCAAAAAUGACGAGAUUUUGAGGAGAAACCGAAGUUGUGAGCAGCAUUAGCAACUCCCGAUUCUCUACAAACAUCGCCAGCGACGGCGGCAUCGACACACCAGACUUCGACGAACUGGACAGGUCGAUGUUUCCUCCUUUCAGAAUCGCAGUCAUCAAAUCGAACGGAGACACAGCUUGAGUGUCGCCGAUGAGGCGUUCGUUCGCACAGAAAGUACCUCCAUCAUAGAGAGAAAGUACAGAGAUAGGAUAGGAGAGAGAAGAAG